GGAAAAAAAAAGAAGAAUCAACGACAAAAGAAAAGGGGGAGCUAAAAAAGAAAAAAAGAGGGUGACAAAGAGGAUAUCUUCUCUUGCAAUCGCCUAUUAAAAGGAGAAGAGGAGAAAACCAAAAAGAUAGAUCUACAGGAGAGAGAGGAGCUAGAGAGAGAAAGUAGAAACCAUAUUUGCAAAGCUUAGAGAUCGAGAGACGGAGUACGAGUUUCGUCAGAGAACACAGCAAACGCAAGCGAAGGGCAGCAACAAACUGAGUAGGAGAAGCAUACCAGUGUGGAAACAGGCUGGUGUGGUGCCAACGAGAAAGGUAAAAGAGCUCGGUGAAAGAAGAAAAAUAACCACGUAAUAUUUAUUUGAAAUUUUAUUAGCAUAUUUUCUUUUUGAAGAAACUUUUAGGAAUUUUUUUUAUCAAACUUGAAUGGGAAUGUUUGUGAUAUUUCAUACAGUUAUUUUUAAUUAUUAUAUGAUUAUAUUUUUCGCAAUAAUAAUUGUUAUUGCUCAAUCCACCGUGUGGGAGUGAUUGAUAUAGCCUAAAUCAAAGUAUGUUUUAGAAUUAAUUUUUAGCUUUCUUCUAUUUGCAGUUUAACAAUAUUAAACUUAAUAUGGUUAUGAGAAUUGACCAACUCAUAACUUGAUUUGUGAUUGAUAGUUUUAAAGUGGUAGAAGUAAAGUUUUAUUAAUUAGAUAUAUAUUGUUAAGUGUUAAUUAUGAUUUGAACGGAAGUAAUAUAAUUAAAUUGACGUGGAGAAAUCAAAGUAUCAUAGAUUUAAUUGAAUCAAAUUAAUAAUUACUACAAAAUGUUAAUAGUUGUUAAUUGAUAUAUCUAGAGAAUACUGGAAAAGAAACUGAAAAUACAUUAGGAUAGCUCGACCAUUGCAGAUUAGAUUAAAUCAAUUACGAAAUUAAAAUUAGAAUGUACCUAAAAUUUAGGUAAAAUCAAUUACUCUGGUAUAUUUUCGUUGAUAAGUUUUUGUCAAUUUAAUUACUAUACUUUGAUUAAAUUAUUUAAAAAAAUUUCUCUUCAUAAAUAUAAUUUCGAUUUCUAGAUAAUAAUAAAAUUUCUACAAUUUUGGUACUUGAUAUAUAGCAAUCCCUGUAAGACGAUACUCUAUUAAUCACUUUAUUACUUGAACAGUUUCGUGCACUUGUUUAUUCGCUUAUCAAAUUUUUGGCGCCAUUACCGAGGAUUGUCAGUAUCAUUAUCAAUACUAAGGGUUAUUAUUAGUGUAGAGUUUAUUCUCUUGUUUUUUAGUUUACUUGCAUUUUAGUUUUUAUUUUUAUUUUUAUUUUAUUUUUUUAUUUUUUAUUAUUUUUAAUUUAAGCAUAAUUUUUUUAUUUUGCUUAUUUUAUUUUAUUUUUAAUUAUUAUUAUUUUUUUGUUGUGAACAUAUUAUGUCAUUUCUUUUUAUGUUUUCAGUUGGUAUAUGAGUCGAUCGAACAACAUAAAACUCUUUAUAAAUCUAGAAUAAAAAAGACUUGUAGACAACUGAAUCGCGAGAGAAAGGAACACUUAGUAACAGAAAGACAAACAAGAGUUGAGAUGACUAAAUACAAAAAAUUGGGUGAGUAAGGGAUGUUUUGAACGAAAAUAAUAGGAUAGCACUCAAAGACUUUGCUACUCCUCUUUUAGGAGCUUUGUUAAGUAUAGUUUGAUCGAGUGUUAAUGCUAACAACUUCGAGAUUAAACCUGCCAUCAUUUAAAUGAUCUAAACCUCAAUUUUGUUUGGGAGUUUUCUAAAUAAUGAUCAUAAUGCACAUCUCUAUAAUUAUUUAGAAAUUUAUGAUACUUUUAAGUAGAAUGGGAUUUCUAGUGAUGCAAUUAAACUUAGGUUUUUCCCUUUUUCGUUAAGAGAUAAAGCUAAAAAUUGUUUGCAUUCUCUUCCUACAGGAACAAUUACUACAUUAGAAGAUCUAACUCAAAAAAUUUUGGCUAAAUUUUUUCCGCUAGACAGGAUAGCAAGGAUGAGAAAUAAUAUCACAAGUUUCUACAAGAUGGAUGGGGAAACGUUGUAUGAGGCAUGAAAGCAAGUAAAGGAGUUGAUUAGAAGAUGUCCUCAUUAUGGGUUACCUAAGUGGUUGUUGGUCCAAAUGUUUUACAACAAAUUGAAUCAACAAACCAGGAUCACAAUCGAUGCAGCUGCUAGAGUUGUUAUGAUGGGGAAGUCUACAAAUGAUGCUUAUGAGCUAUUGGAAGAGAUGGCCAUGAACAACUAUCAAUGGCCAACAAAAAGACUUCAACCUAAGAGAAAAGCUGGAUUAUAUGAGAUUGAUCCGAAUAGUGUUAAUAUUGUUAAUUCUCAUAGGAUUUAUUUGAAUAUCAUUUCCAAAGAUAUGAGGUAGAAUAAAUGAGUUUUGUAGCUGGGCAAGACAGGCCACCAUAUAAUCCAUACUCUAAUAUAUACAAUCUUGAAAUGAGAAAUCAUCCAAAUUUUUCAUAGAGAAAUCAGUAAAAUGUGGCAAGGCCUUCCCCAAGAUUUGAGCCUCAAGAAAAGAAGCCCUUGCUUAAAGAUAUGAUUGCAACCAUUCAUAAGAACACAAUAGAAUUUGCAACAAAGACUGAAGCAGUUAUUCAGAACCAACAAUUGAUGUUACAAAACCAAUAAACAUCGAUUAAGGAACCAAAGAGAAAAAGGUUAAAAAAGAGAAGGUCAAGCAAGAAGUGGAAAAUAAGCAAGUAGUGCUCAAACCUUAUGUGCCACCUAUUUCAGUUCCACACAACACCUCAAAAAGCAUACUAAAUAAAGAAUUUCCUUAAAUUUCUUGAUAUAUUUAAAAAACUUCACAUUAAUAUUCCUUUUGUAGAUGCUCUUACUCAAAUUCCAAAGUAUGCGAAGUUUCUUAAAGAGAUUAUAGCAAAGAAGAGGAGUUUAAAAGAUCAUGAGACUAUUAUACUCAUCGAGGAGUGCAGUGCCAUCAUUUAGAAUAAACUACCGCCUAAAGUGAAAGAUCCAAAGUGGAAGGGACGUGCCUACUGUGCACAUGUCUCGUGCGUGCGUGCAGAAGGGACGUGCGCAUUGUGUGCACGUCCCAUGCAUGCGUGCGGAAGGGAUGUGCACGCUGUGCGCACAUCCCGUGGCCACUGUGCAUGCAUGCAUAUGCGCACAAUGCCUAACACCCGCGCGGGUAAUCAGACUCGUGGGAUUUUUUCGACAGAUUUUCUUCCCGAUUUGUCGUUUUCUGAUUUUUUUUUCUCAAUUUUCAUGUUUAAUUUAAAUGAGUUAGAAUAAAAUUAUUUAAAAUAAAAUAAAAAUUAAAUAAAUUAAAGACAAUCAAACUUACGAAUUACGAUAAAUAUUAAGUAGCGUAAAUUAAUUAAGUUUAACGUGGCCAAAGGCCCGAAUAAAUAGGGUUUCCAAAUUAUUUUAGCAUAGUGAUCGGUGGGAUAUUACAUCCCCCCCCCACGUUAAAACAUUUGGUCCUCAAAUUUAUCAUAAAUAAGUCUGGAUACCUUUUCCUCGUUUCAUACUCCAACUCCUACGUCGCUUCUUCCGGGGUAUGAUGCUGCCAUUGUACCUUCACCAUGGGAAUCGUCUUGUUAUGCAAGAUCUUAUCAGUCCACUCAAGAGUCUCCAUAGAAGCCUCUUCAUAGGUCAUAUUAGCUUGUACCUGCACCUAAUCGCGAGGAAUAACAUGAUAAGGCACCUUUUAUGCAUCGAGACAUGAAAGACAUUAUGUAGACCCGCGACUCUCAGGAUAGAAUAAGGCGAUAUGCCACGAGUUUAAUGUGCUCGAUGAUAAGAAAAGGUCCCACAUAAUGAGAGCUCAAUUUUUCUCUCUUCCCAAACCGCAUCUUACCUUUGUAGGGGUAGACUUUUAGGAAAACUUGAUCCCCCAUGGCAAACUCCAAGGGUCGCCUACAAUUAUCAGCGUAACUCUUUUGGGGGCUCUGGGCAGUUGCCAAAUUCUUGCGAAUGAUUGUGACCUUCUCAAUGAUCUCUUGAAUGAAGUCUGGUCCUAAGCAACGCUGGUUCCCUACUUCACUUCAACAAAUAGGGGAACAACAUGACCUUCUAUACAAAGCUUCGUACAGGACCAUAUUGAUGCUAGAAUGAUAAUUGUUAUUAUAAGUGAAUUUACAAAAAAGAAGAUACUCAUACUAGUUAUCACCAAAGUUGAGAAUGCAAUCACGUAACAUAUCUUCCAAUGUCUAGGUCGUACGUUCUGAUUGACCAUUCGUCUGGGAAUGAUAAGUGGUGCUGAAGUACAACCCAGACCCUAGAGCUUCUUGGAAGCUGUUCCAAAAGUGAGAAGUGAACCGGAGAUCGCGGUUGGACACAAUAGAUGAGAGAACUCCAUGAAGUCAAAUAAUCUCAUUAACAUAUAGGUGUGCUAACUUACUGGUGGAGUCCGUUGUUCGAAUAGGUAAGAAAUGGGCAGUUUUGGUCAUCCUAUCUAGGAUGACCCAAAUGGUAUUUCGACCAGAACAAGUCCUGGGCAAUCUGGUGACAAAGUCCAUAGCUACAUGCUCCCAUUUCCAUUCGGGAAUCGGAAGACGCUGUAGCAAGUCACCAGGUCUUUGAUGUUCUACCUUUAUCAGUUGACAAGUGAGACAUCAGGAGACGUAGUCAACUAUAUCCUUCUUCAUUCUUGGCCAUCAAUAUUGUCGCUUCAAAUCCUGGUACAUUUUGGUACUCCCGAGAUAAAUGAAUAACUUGGAAGCAUGGGCAGUCUUAAGUACAUUCGUACAUACAACAAUGGGAACCUAAAUUCGGUUCUAGAAUCUGAACAGUCCAUCAUUCGAGAUCCUAAAAUUAGGAGAUUCAUCAGAAGUGAACUUACCUAGAUUCUUGGUGAGUUCUAGGUCCAUGGCUUGUGCUUCUCAAAUCUUCAUAAAGAGAUCCGGUAUGCCUCAGAUCUUGGCGAGAUAGGUACCCUUACCGUAGUAGCUAAGACGGAGCAAUUGUACAGUGUCCAUUAUCUUCCAACAUGAGGCCAUAGUUUGAGCCAGCACAGCAGACUCCUUUUGACUUAGGGCAUCGAUGUCUACAUUCCCUCUCCCGGGGUGAUAAAUGAUCUAGAAAUUGUUUAAUCCUUCAUAAGAUCUAUCCAGUGCCUUCGCCUCAUGUUUAACUCCCGUUGAGUAAAGAUGUACUUGAGACUCUUAUGGUCAAUGUAGAUUUCAAAGAUCUGGCCAUACAGGUAAUACCACCAUAUCUUCAGGGCAAAAAUAAUGGUUGCCAACUCCAGGUCGUGGGUAGGGUAGUUCUGUUCAUGAACUUUGAGCUAUCGAGAUCCAAAGGCGACUAUUCUACUAUGUUGUAUCAAGACACACCUCAAACCAAUAUGAGAUGGAUCGUAGUAAACUUGGAAUCUCCCAACAUCGUCAAGGAGGAUUAACAUAGGACCAGAGGUAAGACGAUGCUUCAGUUAUAUGAUGCUUUUACUGCACUCAUAAUUCUAGACAAAUGGUACUCCUUUUUGGGUGAGUCGGGUCAUAGGAGCAACAAUCUUGGCAAAUCUGUCAAUGAAUCAUCAGUGGUAGCCUGUUAAGCCAAGAAAGCUACGUACCUCGGCCACAUUGGUGGAAGACUCUAGCUGACCACCGAUUCCACCUUAGACGAGUCUACAGAAACUCCUUCACUUAAGAUGAUAUGACUGAGAAACAAAACUCGAUCCAACCCAAAGGAGCAUUACUUAGUUUCGCAUACAGUUGGUUUUGGCGAAGAGUCUCCAACAUUUCAGCUAAUUGUACAGUGUGUUCCUCAUGGCUUUUUGAAUACACUAGAAUGUCAUCAAUAAAAAGAUGGCGUACUGAUCUAGUGCGUACCGAAAAACUCGAUUCAUUAAGUCCAUGAAGGGUGCUAGGGCAUUAGUUAAUCCGAAUGACAUCACCCUGAACUCGUACAAAUCAUAGAUGUACCAAAAGGUAAUUUUUGGAAUAUUUUCUUCUUUAACUCUCAACUGGUGAUACCCGGUCCUGAGAUCGAUCUUUGAGAAGUUCGUGGCUCCUUGCAGAUGAUUGAAGAGAUUGUCAAUAUGGGGUAAGAGGUACUUAUUUUUAAUGGCCACUCAGUUGAGUUCCCUGUAGUCCACACAGAGUCGGAGGGUACCAUUAUUUUUCUUUAUAAACAACACUGGGGCGCCCAAGAGAAUUGGCUAGGGUGAAUGAACUUUUGGAUGAUAAGGUCAGAAAGCUGAUGUUCCAGCUCUACUAGCUCAGCAUGACUCAUGCGAUACGUGGGCUUUGAGAUCGGCUGGGUUCCAAGCAAUAAUUCAAUCAAGAACUCUACCUCACGUGGGGGAGUUAGACCAGGAAGUUCGAUGGGAAAGACAUCUGAAAAAUUACAAAUAAUUGGUAUGGAACACACAGUAGGAUCAACAACCAUAUUCCUGUUCAUUCAAAUAUUAGGAAAAUAAGUUUUAUUUCUUUUUCGGGGAUCAUAAGGUUAUAAUUUUACUUUCACAGUCUAUUAUACCUCUAUACUUUUUCAACCAGUUCAUUCCUAAUAUUACAUCAAAUCCUACAAAAUCUAAUACUAUCAGGUUUAGACAUACCUUUAUCUCUGAAGUUUUUAUCCUACAGUUCUUAUACACAAUGAACUUCUAAUAGUAUUUUAGAGGGAGUUUUCACCACUAGUAUUUUUCCUAAAGCUUAUGGUCUAAACUCUAGAUUACAAGUAAAUGCAUAGGAAAUAAAAGAGUGAGUUGCACCAGUAUCGAUCAAAGCCUUAACAGAAGUAUUAUGAAUAAAAAGCAUACCCUGAAAAAUGAGAGGAGUAGGAAGGGCAUCAGAUUCAUCUAAGUGGUAUACUCGACCUUGUGCUAUGAGUCGGUCUAUAUCUUUUGGUCGUUGUGGGCAGUCCUUUAUAAGGUGCUGAGUGCUUUCGCACCGAUAGCAGGUGUUAUUGAUACAUCAGCAGGGCAGGUCACCAUGCGAGCGACCACAAUACUAACAGACUUGGUUAGCUUGGGCAGGUGGAGCUGUAAGUGGGGGGGCAAGGUUUGAGGAAGGAUAACUCUGGUUUGUUUGUCUGGAUGGUUACUUACUUGGUCAGGAAAUCUUCUUCUAACCUUGUGGGGUUGUGUUUGGGUACAGACUCAGGCAAUGCAUUGGUGCUUGGCCGAGAUAAGAUCUUCGGCCAACUGGGCAUGUUCUAGCACUCCCGCAUACGAGUUGGGUCUCAGCAUUAUGACUCGAUCAUAAAUGUCAGCACGAAGGCCCUUGAGAAACUUCCUAACUUUUCAGUUUUCGGGGGUGACCAUCAAAGGGGCAAACCUAGACAGUUGAACAAAACGAGCUACAUAUUGGGUUACAGACAAGCUUCCUUGGCAGAGUUCCUGGAAUUCCUCCUCUUUCUUUUCCCGAACAUAGGCAAGGAAGAAGUUAUCAAAGAAAUCAUCCAUGAAAACUUCCAAGGCAGUAGGGAUAGGUAAGACUUCUUUCUUAAGUCGCCACCAGUGUUCGACUUCACUGUUUAACAUCAAAGCGUAAGAGGGACCUUUUAUUCUUCGGUCAGGUCUAGGACAGAUAAGAGCUUCUCUAUUUGUAGGAUCUAGGCUUCGGCUACUAAAGGAUCAGGGUCACCUUCAAAGUGUGGGGGGUUAAAUUUCCUACACUUUGCUAUAUUGUGGGAGAUAGACUGUUAUGUGUUUCUAAAUUCAGGUGCAGGGGGUGGAUAAGGAUUGACUUAAUUUUGUCCUAUGACUACAGUUAAUCCUUGAAUGGGUCGAAAAAGUUCUGUAAAUUCAACCCUAGUCGAAUGAUCCAGGGCUUCAAGUCGCUUAGUAUGCUCUAUGGUUGGUCUUCCUCGCAUCGUUCCUACAAAGAAAGGAAGACACGAGUUGGAGGUUUAAUCUUUGAAAAGAGAACUUAUUUCUUUCCUAGAUAUUUUAAAAGGUUCAUCUACCUAAGGUCUUAGUGCAAGGGAUUUGAUCUUAAAAUUCUACUAUAAUACCAUCUGUGAGAUCCCAAGUGCUAAUUAAGGAAAAUGGAUGUCAGAUAUAGAUUCAGGAUAACGAGUGCAUGAUAAAAUUUAUACAGCGGAACAAAAUCAUUAUAAAUCCCUUAAAAAUAUGAGUUCCAAUACAUACAUAUAUUGAGGCCAGAAGUGGCUGCAAAAUACAAAAAAGAAAACAUAACGGCCACUUUUUUCACUGUGCUAUUAAACUCAUCAGAGUGCGAGAAUAGUUACGCACUCAGACUUAUGGAUCCAUGGGAUCCUUAUAGACUUCCAAGGGUGGGUUAGCAUGCGGUUCCUCACUUUCUUCCUCAUCUGGGGGGUGGGCAUGAAAAGAGUGAGUUCCAUAUGCUCAGUAAGGAAAACAAUAUUAAAUUAACAUCGUAAGAUUUUAAAAGUUAAUUAUUUUAUCUUACCGUUUAACUUCCUCGUUUACCUAUCUCGCAUUAUGAAAAACAAUUUAUUUAUUAAGAAAACGAUAUGUUAAUACAGAUAAUUAUACAUACAUCAUGUCAAAUAAUAGAGAAAAUAAAAUAAAUCAUGAAAUGCUCAGAUUUUCUUAUCAUACUUCGCGAAGUCGUUACAACUUCCAUCUCUGAGGCCAAAUACAGAUAGGGCAAUUUACUGAGGCCCAUUUUCGGCUGGCCAAACCAUGGUUGGAUCUAUGACCACGGUCGUACCAACUAUAGUGGUCCUAACAUAUAUUUACAGUCAUGACAUUACUUAGCCACGGGUGACCCCUACAGAUAGUGCGACACUACUCUCGUCAGAUGGUACACCGUCAUCUACUAGGAGCGGUCCUCUUACGUCUUUCUAGACCAGAUAGGGGAGGAGAAACAGAUACUCUGAAGGGUAAGGAGAACAGAUAUCCCUCAGAGAUAAAAAGUCUAACAAGACACUUGAUGCAAUAUGCAUGUCAAUACAAAUACACUUCAGACUAUACAGGCUUCAUUUAACUUUUUUUUUUAUAUAUAUAUUUUUUAUUUUCACCGAUUACAUAUUAUAUUUAUUAUAUGCAAAUUCAUCAAGUCUUUGCACUUGAUAUAGCAUGCUUGAAAAUAAGAAUAAUUCGACUCAUCUAAACACAGAGGCAUACAAAACAGGCAAAAUAACAAUCAUACUAAAUUAGUUUAUCUAAAAAUACUCCUUAAAAUAUCAAAAAAAAUACUAAAUUUUUUAUUGAAAUCUUGACAUUUUCUCCUUCACCUUAUGUGCUGUGCGCACAUCCCACAGCCACUGUGAGCGUAUGCUCACGCACACAAUGCCCAGCACUUGCACGGGCAACCAGAUUCCUCGCAGGAUUUUCUUCCCAAUUCAUCGUUUUCUGAUUUUUUUUUUCUCAAUUUUCAUGUUUAAUUUAAAUGAGUUAGAAUAAAAUUAUUUAAAAAAAUAAAAUAAAAAAAUAAAAAAAUAAAAUAAAAUUUAAAUAAAUAAAAAUCAACCAAAAUUAGAAAUUACGAUAAAUAUUAAGCACNNNNNNNNNNNNNNNNNNNNNNNNNNNNNNNNNNNNNNNNNNNNNNNNNNNNNNNNNNNNNNNNNNNNNNNNNNNNNNNNNNNNNNNNNNNNNNNNNNNNNNNNNNNNNNNNNNNNNNNNNNNNNNNNNNNNNNNNNNNNNNNNNNNNNNNNNNNNNNNNNNNNNNNNNNNNNNNNNNNNNNNNNNNNNNNNNNNNNNNNNNNNNNNNNNNNNNNNNNNNNNNNNNNNNNNNNNNNNNNNNNNNNNNNNNNNNNNNNNNNNNNNNNNNGAUGGGCGAGAUGUUACAGUCAUACUCACACUGUGCUCUACAUGUAACUAACGGGUAUCCUCUCUGUAGAGGACCGCUGAUCAUCAGAGGGUGUCACAACACUUUUUAAUGGAGGGAGAAAUAGAAACUCGUUAGAGAUAACAAUCGAACAGAUUUUCCAUUCUCACUUGUUUAUUCCAUAUUUAUAACAAAUUUCAUAUUCUUUUCAUAUGCAUAUUACAUGUUUAAUGUAACUAUUUUCGAACUCGAUAAGGAUUCCACAACUUAUUUAGCCUCAAGCAUUUUUUCUAUAUUCUGCCAUAAGGCUCAUCUCAUGUGUUUGGCCCGAAGGCUCAUUUCACAUAUCCAGCCCGAAAACCCACUUUACAUGGAAUUGACCUUCGGGUCAUCCUCUUGAACUAAGGUCCACUAUAAUAACCCUCUUCACCAUUACUAAGGUAAGGCGAAAGGCCAAACCUGCAUGUAAUUUUCCAUUAUCAUAUUUUCAUGCAUCAUGUUCAAUAUUUUCAUGGUUAAAUAAUGAUCAAUAAUCGUAGAGACUUAUACAUCAAACCAACAUGCUCAACAAUACCAAACAUCAAUCCUUGUAGGGAUUCAUGCAUCAUAGUCAUAAGGCACACUAUCAUAAUCAGUCACCAAACAAGCAUAGAAUUCCUUUUUAAUAAACCUCCAAUUUCACUAAAUUAAUUAGCUAAAAAGAGCACUUAGAAUGUAGAUAAAAAUACUAAAAAAUCCCUUACCGAAAUCAAGUCGAUUAGUCUUUUGGAAGGGAGAAAAGAACUUUUAGCACUCGUUGGUCAAACUCCUUAAACUCCUACUUUUUCUCCUACUUUCUUGCUUCUUUCUCUCUCUAAAAGAGGAAAUCACUCUAAAAUGUCUCCCUAGAAAGUGAAAAUGGAAGAAGAAAUGAAGUGUGGGAAGAUGAGGAAAAGAGAGCCUUUAAAGAGGCAUGGGGAAAGCUUAGAUGUGCACCACAUGGCAGCAUCAAGUGGGUGGUUGAGAGCUGGGUGAGGAGUGGGUGACUAUGGGACCUAUAAGGCAUUGGGGGGGGGGGGGGGGGGCAUGGGCACGGGUAUGGGGCUUNNNNNNNNNNNNNNNNNNNNNNNNNNNNNNNNNNNNNNNNNNNNNNNNNNNNNNNNNNNNNNNNNNNNNNNNNNNNNNNNNNNNNNNNNNNNNNNNNNNNNNNNNNNNNNNNNNNNNNNNNNNNNNNNNNNNNNNNNNNNNNNNNNNNNNNNNNNNNNNNNNNNNNNNNNNNNNNNNNNNNNNNNNNNNNNNNNNNNNNNNNNNNNNNNAAUCAAAAUUGGAUCUGAGAGGGGAUGGACAGUUUCAAGUCCUUGAAAGAGGCAACGGUACCACCUACAAAAUUGACUUACAUUUAACGUUUUUUAUCUUUCUCCUUUUGAAAUAGGUGAAGAUUCUUUUCAAAGAGGGAGAGGAUGAUGUGAGUCCAAUCAACACAUACAAGGAAACUAAAUCUCGAGAACCAGAUGUAGAAAUAAAAAGAAUCCAAGACAGCCUUGGAGAGUAAGGAAAACAAAUUGAAAUGCCUCCUAUACCAAUCACAAGGAAUUGGGCCAAAAAAUUUCAACUUGCAUUUAAUAUGUUGGCCCAAGAAUGGAAAAAUAAAGAGUAGGAUCAAGGUAGGCCAACUGACCUUAGAGAAGAUAUGGGAGCACGUGCUAAGCACGUGGACGUACUCAUACAUGCAAAUGAACAACCAUAUGUGUAAGAAAGGAGUCUUGUACUUGUGGAGAUCUCACUCGUGUGAGAAACGUGUACAAGGCAUGCAAGCAAGCCUUCUAGUAUGUAAGGCAACACGCAUGUGCGAAAUAGCCUAUCGCAUACGUGCAGGAGAAUGCGAGCAUGAAGUAGGCCGCGUAGAAAUACAACACAUGUUGUAGGGGCACACAUGCACAGAGGUAGUUGCGCGCGCGCAGAGCAAAAGUGCUCACGUGCCACACGUGAGGAAGAGUCACGCGGUCGAGGUACGUGUGCGAGCCAUUCGCAUGCUCGCAGAUUGACGUGCAUGCAGGCAUGCCUUUCUGCACAUUUGGCAUGUUUGGCAUGGGGCUGCAGUUGUUGCCCGAAUUUUGGACUCAUUUUCUUUAUAUUUUCCAUGUAUUUCACUCAAAAAUCACAUGGCAUUAAAUAUGCAACUAUUUAAAUAUUUUAUUUAUAUUAUUUCAAUGUAAAUAUAUUCCCUAGGAUUAUUUAAUUAAUAUUUUUAGGAUAGAGAUUGAGAUAGAGUUUUAUUUUAUUAUUUUUCAAAAAUUUGUAAUCAUUUAGAGUUACUUAGGUGAAAACCUGUAUAAAGGUCUCAUCAUAGGUUGUAAUUCACAAUCAAAUUUGAAGAUCAAUAAAGAAACUUUUUGCUUUAAAUUAGACUGCUAAUUUUCAAGUUCUUCAAAUGUCUUCAAGCUUGGAGUUUCAGACGGCUUAGUUGAGGGGGGAAUCGGGAUCGCUUUAUCGGGUAAGUCGUGGCAUCUUUCUCUUUUCUUUUUAUUUUCCAGUUACUUGAAUUAGCUUUCACUUAGUCGACUGUGAUUCUAAUUGGGAGGGUUCAACUUAGAUAAUUAAGUUUUGAAUUACUGAACAUAGUGGGUUUAAGAUUGAGGUGUUUUCAAUCGGUGGAGUAAACGCACUCCACCUCAUGUCAGUUAUGCAAUUUGAUUGUUCCAUUUUUGCAUAGUUCUUAAUUUUCCUUUUAAUGUACUUUAAUUUCUAAUCUUUAUGAUUUGUAAAUACUUUAUUUAACAUAUUGAAUUCUAAGUAAAUGACACUUUUAUAUGCGUGUAUUAGAUAAUAGAUUUUCUUUAAUUAAUAUUUGUACACAAAUUAAAUCGUUACAUAUUUUGUAUAACAAAUACAUGUCUCACACUUUUCCAUCAUUUAAUGUCCACGAACCAAUAAUCCCUAAUAAAUUGUGCACCAAGCCAAGCUCCAUAGACAAACCCAUGGUCUUCAAUAAAAAAAAAAGAGUAGCAAAAAAGAAGAAAAAAAAAAGUCAUCUGAUUUGCCCUUUUAAAAUCUAAUCCAGAAGUGACGCAAGUACAGUCACAAAGGAUGUUUCGAUAAAAAGACACACCAACUUACUUAAAGGAAACUAGCGAUGCCCAAGAUGAGGCACUACUAAUGGAAAAACAGGUACAAUUACCCACAGGACCAACCACAUAAAGCUGGACCUGAAAACUUUAAGGCGUCUUCAACCUGAUAGUGCAGGAAUGAGCGAGCGACAAGAUCGUCAAUGAGGCUCAAAAAAAGGCAUAAAGCACGAGAGAAGAGUGGAGGACACAUGCGGCACACAUGACCUACCUUUGGCACGUGUGCAAUGGUUCCCACAUGCAAAGAAACCCACUCGCACAUGCAAGAACACUUCCUGCAUAAUUAUGGCACACCAAGCGUGCAGAUAGACACGCCAUAUGCCCCGUGCAGAAAUAAGCACUCAGACUGUGCGUGCACACACACGACUAUUGUGCCCAUGCGAGUAAUAAUGACCAUGCGUGUGGGCCUAGACAGGGCAUAUACACAUAAGCCCAUCUAUCAAGAUACGCGCCCAGCCUGUAGCCGAACCAGUUGCACGACUAGUAGGCUAAUGCUUGAUGUGCCAGCCCAACACGCGGGCUCAUUUUGCAUGACUCAUGGGAUCCGACUGGCCCAACCUGCGCAGGCUACCUAACCCGCGAACCACGAAUGUCGACCCUCCACUUCCUCAAAUUCUUUUUUUUGGACCUGGCCUUCACUUUUCCACAUGCUUAAUUAAUUUUCCCAUGUGUAUUUCAACAUUUUUUUUUCAUUUUUUAAUGCUUAUUUUAAUGUAAUUGAUAUCUCUUAGGUUAUUUAUUUAUUUAUUUUGAAUUUUAGAUUGGGAUAGAAUAUUAUUUUAUUAAUUUUUAAGUGUUUGUAACCACCUAGACUAUUCAAGUAAAAACUUAUAAAUAGGCCUUUACCAUAGGUUGUAAACACACUUAAGUUGAGAAAUAAAUCAAAGAUUAGCCUUUUUCUUCAAUUAGUAGUUUACUAAUUUUUGAGUUUCUUCAAGUUCUUCAAGAAGUGAGAGUCUUCAGAAGCUUAUUGAGCCAAGAAGCAGGGAUCAACUUAUCUGUAAGUCUGUAGUAUAUUUUUCUUUCCUCAUUUUAAUUUCCUAGUUCCUAUUUAUGCAUGCUUAUUAGGUGUUGUAGAUUCAAGUAGAGGGAGGAAUUUUCUAAGCGGUUAAAGUUUCAAUAUUGUAUAUAUUGUGUGGGUUAUAGGAGUUGAUUUGAUCCUCCUCAUACCCUCUCGUGUCAUCUAGUAUCAGAGCUUAGGCUCCUAAAACCCAAACUAUCUUUAUUGUUCUUCAACAUUUUUGUUCCUAAAUUAAUAUUUAAAUUUAUUUUGAUUGUUAAUUUGUUUGCAUUUUAUUUUAAUCUGUUUUAUCCACUAUUUGAAGUAAUUUUAUGUUUGUUCCAUUAUUAAAAAAUAUAUAUAUAUAAAAAUACGAAAAAAAAUCUCAAUUGCACCCCAUAAGGACUCGUUGUUUGCAUUUUGCUUAACAAAAAUAGAAUAGCCGCCUAGUUGGGUGACUAUAAAACCUUUGAUAGUCAAAGGCAGAGUACCUCAUAUAUCGGGUACGAGCGAAAAUUUUUAUUUUUAUUCCAUACAUCUUUUACGUUAAAUUUUCGAAUUGCAUGUCUAUAAUCUUGCAUCAGCGUUGCAUGAAGAAACUUGGUAGGUCGUAGAGUGUAGUUGACAAUUUGGGAGUAGUAUAAAUAUAUACACCUUACGAUUAUAUCCAUCAUGAUUGAUAGGAUCCCUACACAUCAUUUUGAAUUGUCAUUCUUUGUGAUCUAAGUUUCUACUUUUUUAUACUCUUGUUCCAUUACAAAAAAAAUUAAGUGACUAAUUGAUACUAGUUGUAUAACACACAAAAAACACACCAUUCAUUCUUCUGUAUGCUUGUUUUUGAGCUUCAGUAAAAAUUAGAAUCAUUUAGGGUCCUUAUUAUGGCAUAAGGAUCAAUGUGCAGAAUCGAUCCAAGUUAUUUCAAUUUUGAAUGCUCAACUCGAUAGAAGAAACUGUCAAUUGAGGGAUUGUGAGGUAAACACGAGCGGAGGUAAAAAAGAGUUUUUACUUUCACUAACUUCUUCUUGCAAGUACUUCGAUAUGUUUUAGAUCAUUACAGGAGCUCCUAGCUAGAGUUGUACCCUUGUUCUGCAAAGAGGCCUCUUUAAAAAUUCCUAUUCAUUCGGGCCUUAUGGCCACACAAAACUUAUUUAUUCUAUUUCAUAAUUUGUUUUCAUGAUUCAUAAAUUUUAUCGAUUUUUAUUUUAUUUUAAUUUAUCUAAUUUUAUUUUCGUUUAAUUAUUUAAUCUUUAAAUUUUGAAUUAAAUGAUUUUUGGAAAAAAAUAAAAAAGGGGACAAAUAUCUUACGAGAAAAUCCCAUGAGAAAGGGCUGCAAGCUCGGGCCACCGUGUGCUAUGCUUGCGCAUGCAUGCGCACAGCUAGUGCAGGACGUGCGCGCAGUGUGUAUGUCCCAUCUGUGCACACGGUGCGAGGUCAAUCCUGCGUGUGUCUUAUUGCACGUGGGCAGGCUGUUCGCACGUCACCUCACGCGUGGUCAGGCGUCGCACACUUUGCGUUCGCCGUCCGCGCAACAAGCCUACGCAGAUAGGCCCCUACGUGCCUAGGGCCCAUGAUCAGUAGGCCUGCACGCGCAAUAGAGUAACCCAUAUGCUUGCAAGAUAACCUUGCAGUGCACCGGCAAGUAAGGCCAUUGCCGCCUUGGGUAGUGUGCCGCCUUAGGCAGUGUGCCGCCACCCACCUCAGGUGGCAUGGCACUGCUCUUGGCACCACUGCUGUUGGUAGAGGAGGUCUUUCUCUUUUAUUUUGUGUGCCGAGCAUCUUUUUCUCUCUCUCUUCACCGGAUUUUGCCACUUGUGGCAAAUCCAAUAGCUCUCCUUUUUUAUAAAUAGGGGCCCUUCCUUCCCAUUUUCUCUAUACUUCCAUUCUUUCACCUUUCAAGAAUUAGAGAGAGAGAAAAAAAAAAGUGAUUUAGAGAGAGAAUGAGAGGAAGAAAAGAAUAACGAUGUAGAAGAGAUUAUCAAAGUUUCGGUAAUAAAUUUAGUAUUUCUUUAAAUUUGUUAAGGGGUAUUUUUAGAACAAAAAAGGUUAAAUUGAUAAUUUUGUGAUUUUGCCUAUUUUUGCAUGCUUUAUGUUUGUAGGCUUAAUAAACUGAAUUAUUUUUUAUUUCGAGCAUGCUAUGUGAGUGAUAGACACUUGAUGAUUUGCAUGUAAUUGUACUAAAAUGAAACUGGUAAAGGUAUUUGAAAAAUAAAAAGAACAAAAAAAAAGUAGAAUGAAGCAUGAAUAGUACGAAGUAUGUAUCUGUAUUGACAUGCAUAAUGCAUCAAGUGUCUUGUUCGGCUUUUUAUCUCUAAGGGGUAUCUGUUCCCCUAUCCCCAUCUAGGAUAUCUAUUUUUUCCCUCCCCCAUCUGGUUUAAAAAGACGUAAGAGGACCGCUUCUUGUAAAUGACGAUGUACUUUCUGACAAGAGUGGUGAUACAAAUAUCUGUUAGGGAUCACCUUUGGCUAAGUACUGUCAUAACUAUAGAAUAUCUUAUAGGACUACUAUGGUAGGUAUAGUCGUGGUCAUAGAUCGUACUAUGGUUUGGCAAGCCGAAAAUAUAUCUGAGCAAAUUGUCGUUAUCUGUAUCUAAUUUGGUCAUUCCACAUAGGUAGUCAGAAAUAAGAAUAUGCUUUUAGAGAUGGAAGUUGUAACGACUUCAAGAAGCAUGAUACGAAAAUAUGAGCAUUUCAUGAUUUAUUUAAUUUUCUCUAUUAUCUCGUAUGCUGUGUUUAUCUUGAUUAUAUUAACGUGAUGUUUUCUCUAAUAAAUAAAUUAUUUUCAUAAGGUAAGAUAAGUUUUCAAAGUAACCAAAGGGUAAGUGUUUAUGUUAAAAUAAUUCACGUUUAAAACCUUAUGAUGUUAUUUAAAUACUGUUUUUCUUACUGAAUAUAUGCUACUCACUCUUUCCAUGCUCCCCCCCUCCAGAUGAGGAAGAGAAUGUGGAAUCGCUAGCUGACCUACCAAUUGAAGUUUAUGAGGAUCCCGUGGAUCUGCAAAACUUGAGUGCAUGAUCGUUCCCGCACUUUGAUGAGUCCAAUAGCAUAGUGAAAGAAGUAGCCCUCUUUUGUAUUUUGACAUUG
rnacentral:lncRNA from 1 species